AGUGAACGCUGGCGGUAGGCCUAACACAUGCAAGUCGAACGGCAGCACAGAGGAGCUUGCUCCUUGGGUGGCGAGUGGCGGACGGGUGAGGAAUACAUCGGGAUCUACUCUGUCGUGGGGGAUAACGUAGGGAAACUUACGCUAAUACCGCAUACGACCUACGGGUGAAAGCAGGGGAGCUUCGGACCUUGCGCGAUUGAAUGAGCCGAUGUCGGAGUAGCUAGUUGGCGGGGUAAAGGCCCACCAAGGCGACGAUCCGUAGCUGGUCUGAGAGGAUGAUCAGCCACACUGGAACUGAGACACGGUCCAGAAUCCUACGGGAGGCAGCAGUGGGGAAUAUUGGACAAUGGGCGAAAGCCUGAUCCAGCCAUACCGCGUGGGUGAAGAAGGCCUUCGGGUUGUAAAGCCCUUUUGUUGGGAAAGAAAUCCAUCUGGUUAAUACCCGGGUGGGAUGACGGUACCCAAAGAAUAAGCACCGGCUAACUUCGUGCCAGCAGCCGCCGUAA
rnacentral:rRNA from 1 species